rnacentral:tRNA from 1 species
GCAUUGGUGGUUCAGUGGUAGAAUUCUCCCCUUCCAUGCCAGAGGCUCAGGUUUGAUUCCCCACCAAUGCA